AUAUGACUUUUUCAGAAACAUCCCCUGUGAUCCGUUAUGUAUUGUUGAGUUGUCCAUUAAAUUUAAUGUUUCUGUAUAACCAUUUUUUGGUCUAAAUGUUAAAAUGUUCCUGUUUCUGUAUAACUUAUCCUCCUGCAUGUGUUUCUUUUGUAGUUUGUUUUUAAGUGUGAAUUAAUUAUUCACAUUUUGAUGUAAUCGAAAAGAGAGAUUAGUUAAGUUGCCGACAAAUCAAAUGAUUACUCAAAGUAAUGUUUUUGUUUUUUUUAACUCUCAAAAGUAAUGUUUAAUCCGAAAACGGACGAAAUUCAUCGUCUCUUCAAGACGUUGACGUAUCGAGAGUUCCCUCCAGGUUAGGGAGAUUUCUCGCAAAUCUGAAACUCGUUGUGCAUAACUGUGACUGGGCCAUGACAUGAAGUUUACUUUUUGGAAUUUCAAAUGUAAAGAAACUUUGAUAAUAUAUCCAAGUCAAUGAAUUGUAAAUCAAAACGAACACCAAAACCUAUAAUAAAUAAUAAUUUUAAGAUGACAUUGAUUGUUUGUUUGUUUUACAUUUAGUGUAUACAAAUACUUUUUCUAAUGAAACACAACUUUUAGUAUCUAUAUAUAAUAAGCAAACCUGUUCUUGUUUUCGUAUGACAUCAUUUUUUAUACGAAAAAAAAAUCUGAUCCAAUGAUUAGAAUUCUCUCGUCCCUAUCUCUCCCUUCAACCGUUCAGCUCUGCAACUCCGAUGACCUGCGCGUGGUGGCUCCGUUAGCGCCACCGCCGGUCCCUUUAGCUUUAUUUUGAUUGUCUUUAGUAGAUCUCGUGUUUAGAUUAUGUUAGGGUGGGUUUCUAGUUAGGUAGAGGGCUUUGGUUCGAGGAGCUUGUAUCGGGUCACGAUUUUCAUGGAGGUCGUGUGGCUAGUUGGUUGGGUCCGCCGCCGGUUCAUGGUGGUCCCUUAUCGAAUCGUGUCUCGGAUUCCUUCGUGCUUGUUUGGGUUGGUUAAUCGGAUGGUCUUGUAGCGUCAUGGUCUUGGCGGGGGUUUUGGAGUUGAUUGCUGGUGUUGGUCUUUCCGAUUGGUGUGUGUUGUAUCUUUAGCAACGGGUUUGUUUUGGCGGGGCCAAAUGUUCCGGCUUUAGUUUCUAUAACAGAUUUCUUGUUGGUUUGGCCUGGUCUUGUUCCUGUGCUCGGCUUUUUUUCUUAUCCGUAUCAAGGUCGCCAUGCUAGGAGUUGGUUCAAGUCUGGUUCGUGGUUCGUCUUUUGUAUGUGGUCUUGUUACGGGAGCAUCUACUCUCUCUUCCUAGAAGCUGUGUGUUUCUAGUGGGGUUAUUAGCGUCGCAGUGGGUCCGUUCUUCAGUUCUUCUCUUGCGAGGAGGUGGCCAUUCUUCAGUCGGUAGAUGGCUGAGUUUGGGAUGCGAGGGUCCGCGUGUAAGAAUUGGAGGUCUUGGAAGGCGUUUUCCCGGUCAGAGUUAAAGGUUUUUAUCUUGUGCUUGAGCUUGUUUUCGGUUUUGGCUCCUCUUGGUAAUGGUCGUGGUGAAGUUUCUGCCUUUGUUCUGUGUUAUGUUACAACUAUCUCGGCCGUUUAGAGUCUGGUGGGGUUCUUGGUGAUCACGCUUCGCUUUGUAGCUGUGUGGUUAUACUCGAGCUCUUGUCUUUCAGCUCUGUUGGCGAUGUGCAGAUGGUUUAUUUGAGUAUUAUGGAUUUGGAGACCCUCUAGUGAUUAGUCUCAAGUUGGUAUGAAUGUUGUUAUUUUGUUUCUCUAGAUAGUCUGGUUCCCAUAAAUCUCUUGGGUAUAGGUUCCCGUAAAUCAUUCGGGCUUUGUUUGCCUGAAUAUGGCAUUAUGUUUGUAAGUUUCGUUUCAGAACUCUGUUUAAUCAAAUUCCACUUGUGACGGAAAAAAAAAAGAUUAGAAUUCUCUUUAUUUUAUGAUUUAAUUGACAUUAAACAUUUUUGUUAUGAAUGAUGAAGUCAUCAAUGUUUUGGCAACUCUUCUUUCAACAGUCAUUUAUUUUAAACAACACAACUUUUUAAAAGACACAAUCAUAAAAUAAAUUAAUAUCCAAUGAUGGAGUUUACCCUGAAAUUACAAUCCAAUGGAUACAAUUUUGUUUAAGAUGAAGAGUAUGACAUCAUCAAGUCACUUUAGCAUACGACGCUCUUCAGAGGCGUCCCCUAAAUAAAUUGUAGGAAUUUUUCACACUUAAUAGUUGUAUCUUUUCACACACAGAUUUCCUUUAUGAGUUAUAUGUUUCUAAAAGUUUAUAUAUUGAAGAGAUUGUACGCUUUCAAACUUGUUUCAGGAUCCACAAUUCAGAACAACUAUAUCAUUUGCUGAUGAUCCAUAAUUUAAACUCAGAUUAAGGUUAUGUUGGAUCCACGAAUCAGAACCACUCAACCAUUCGCUCUUCUUAUCGUGAAGGAGUUAGAGCAGGUAUAUGUCUUCAAGAUAACAAUUCUGAUACGUGAAGGUGGAAAUACUAACAAUCAGAUAAUAUAUCAGCCGCAUCCCCAGAGUGGGCUCCUUCUCCGGCGUGUUCCCGACCACGGCUCCUCUCUCUGAUAGAGUGAUAGGUGGCAUCUCAUCUUCACAGCUUCUGCUUAGAAGUCCCACAUGAUCAUUUGCAGCCGAGCAAGAGGAGGGAGAUACAUGAAUCAAUAUGUUUUCUUCUCACCGAACAUUUGGGUUUGAACUUGCGCUUUGGGACCAGAUUCUGUCGGGAAAGUGGCUCUUUCCUUUUGUAUCGUCUGUACAUGCGAGAAAAUCGUUCGUAGUGGUAAUAAUUAUGUAAUGUUCACUAAGACUCAAGAUUUCCAUGGAAAAUUAUACAAGGCGCUCUUCCCCUAGGCUAUAAUCUCCCAAAACAAGGGAUUUUCCUUGACACGCAGAUGCAACGAACACUGGACAACUCUCCAAUUCCUCUUUCAUUGUGAAAUGGCUAAAAAAGGUUUCUAGUACUUUGCUGAUGAGACAAUGCCCUAACGUACAUAAUCUAGCCUCUUUUGAACAAGCCUUUGAUGCUUUUAAAGGUGUUACCUAUCUACCACCAUUGGGAAUCUCGGUUGACUUGUUCCCGUGGAUAUGCUGGAAUUUUGGGAUGAUGCAGUGUGGAACCAAUGUAGUAAAGCUGCAGGUUGUGGAUGGCUGUUUCAGAAUUCCAAUGGUUUCUAUAUUGGACAAAGAUUGUGCCUAGAGCAGCAUGUCGUUUCCCCCUUCCAAGCAAAGGCUUUAGCAGUCUUCUCAGCCAUGUACAACCCAAAGGACUUCCUUCGGCUGAGAUCUAUGAAAAAUAUGUAUCAAAUCAAAUUGUCAAAUGCUUAUUAAAGCAAUUAACUCGAAGCUUCCUUCGGCUGAGAUCUUCGAAAUCUUCUGGGACAUCGAGUCUCUAUCUUGUUUAUUUUUGUAUGUGCCUUUCGUUACGACUAGAAAGACACUACGUAAUGCUUCCUUUGUAUCUAUCAUCUAGUGCUGAUAGCUUUGAAUUAAUAUGUUUUAUGUUAAAAAUGUAACAUUAAUCUACUAAUAAUAGCAAUCCCAUUUAAUUCCAAAGGUUGUGAAUCCACUUAUGUUGAAAAGUUGCGUCUUUUGUAAAAACUGUUUAAAAAGUUGUCUUUUAUAAAAAUGUUGGAAGGUUGUGUCUUUUCUAAAAAUUGUUUAAAGAUUGUGACUAUUCAUAUAAGUAUCUUUUAAAAAGUGAAAAGUUAUGAGUAUUCUUAUAAGUAUCUUUUCAAAAUAACUACUUUUAAAUUGGAAGAAUGUGACUAUUCAAAUUGAAGAGUUGUGACUAUUCAAAUAUAUUUUUAAAAUCUAUAAAUAGUCGAUGUCUAUGCAUUUGUCAAAGUAAAAUUUUCACUAAUUUCACUAAUUAUAAAAUGGUGAAAAAAAUUUCUAUGCAGUUAUUUGGUUAUAACUUUUUAGAAGGUAUUUAAAUGAAAUGUUGUCAACAAAAAAUAAUAGAAAGAAUUUUAUGUGUUUGGAUAGCCAAAAUCCUAAACGAAACAACAAUGUUACUAGAUGAAAAGGUUUGUCUCCCACUAAACAAUACACUAAAGAAAAAGAAAAAAAUUUCCUUCACUUAAAUCUGGAAAGCAUCGUCUUCUUCAUCUCUCUCACAUUUUAUUUGUUAUUUUCUCCAAGCCUCUGCACCCUCUCGUAUUUUUAAAUGUAUAUCCUGAGACUCGUCUUCAUGCUCUGUUAGUUUCUAUCUUAAUUUCCAUUGGAUUAUUAGAUUUUUUAGUUGCUUAUUUACUUCUAAAAUGUAUUGUGUUAGUGGAGGAUGGUUCUACGCUUUCCACCAUUUAAUGGGAUGAUAUCAUGAUGAUGACGAAGCAUUAUAAGAAUGAUUUUGUUGUUGUUGAUUAAUAAAAGAUUGUGUCUUUUCAUUAAAAAUUGUGGUUAGUUUUGUUUUUCCAACAUGCAACUAUUGGAAAUAUUUUUAAAAUAUCACAAUAAGUGUUUUUUUAUUUUUUUCAACAUGCAAGUAUUAAUUAUUUUUAAUUAAUUAUAACAUCUUGAAAAGUGAAUUCUCUUAAAAAAAAGAGUUAUAAUAUGUUAAUAAGAGUCUUUCUACAAUUAAUAAUUUUAAGAGUUGUGUUUACUUAUUAUUAAUAUUCUGUCUUUUUCAUAAAAAAAAAACAUUGAUAGUUUUGUUUUUCCAACAUACAAAUAUUAGAAAUUUUUUUAAAUAGUUAAAAUUCACAAUAAGUGUCUUUUUGUAUUUGUUCAACAUGCAAAUAUUAAUAUAUUUUUCAAUUAUUUAUAACAUCUUAACAAUAGGAUUCUGUUAAAAAGUAAUUAUAAUAUCUUAAUAAGUGUUUUUCUACAAUUAGUAAUUUAUGAGUUUUGUCUACUCUUUAUAAAAAUGAUGUAUUUUCAUUAAAAACUGUGAGUAUUUCUGUUUUUCCAACAUGCAACUAUUGAAAAAAGUUUUGGUUAAAAUAGUUAAAAUAUCACAAUAUGAAUUCUUUCAAAAAGUAGUUAUAAUAUCUUAAUUAGUGUCUUUUUACAAUUAAUAAUUUGGAGAGUUGUGUGUCCUCAUUAUAAGAACUAUGUCUUCUCAUAAAAAAAUUGUGAUUAGUUUUAUUUUUCCAACAUGCAACUAUUGGAAACGUUUUUAUAAAAUGGUUAAAAUAUCACAAUAAAUGUUUUUUUUUUGCAUUUUUUCAACAUGCAAGUAUUGGAAUUUUUCAGUUAGUUAUAACAUCUUAACAAAUAAAUUCUUAAGAAAAUAGUAAUACUAUUUUAAUGAGUGUCUUUUUACAAUUAUUAGUUUAAGAAUUAUGUCUUGUCAUCAUAAGAUUUGUGUCUGUUCAUAAUAAACUGAGAUUAAUUUUGUUUUUCAAACAUAAAACUAUUGAAAAAAAUAUCUAUUAGUAGUUAAAAAUACACCAAUAAAUAAGUGUCUCAAUCCUCAUACGGCUAGUGUUCCAAGUUACUAUCUAUAUGGUUUGGAGGGAGAGGAAUGAUAGGAAGCAUAUGAAGAAUCCGAGACAGGCCGGCCAAUUGGCAAAGGUCAUCGACAAGACUGUGAGGAACAGGAUCACAUCCACAAAGUACACUCAGAAGCCACGCUUGCGAGGCCUACUUCAGCUCUGGUUCACAGCUCACAUGUAGAUUCAUAGCUCUGAUUUGAUUUUCUUUUUUUUUUCUGAUUCUUUCUGUACAUAAACAUUAUUCUCAUUUGAUGACUAAUAAAUUUAAAAUUUCAUCAAAAAAAAAAAGAUAAAAAAAUUAAAAAUGUUGUUAAAUAUCUCAGUAAGUGUCUAUUCUAAAAUUAUGUGUGUUUUUCAUAUGCAAUAGAGAGUCAUUUUUAAUGAUGUGUCUAUUCAUAAUGUAUUGUAAAUGUAGUAUCUUAAAUUAAUUAACUCAAAUCUAAAGUUUGAUUUUCCAUAUAGAUCUUUGAAAAUCUAUAAAUAGUCUAUAUAAAAAAGUUCCUCAUUGUAUUUUUUCAAAAAUUUAUCAAAUAAU